GACAGAGGGUGCAAACGUUGUUCGGAAUUACUGGGCGUAAAGCGCGUGUAGGCUGCUUCAUAAGUCGGGUGUGAAAGCCCUGGGCUCAACCUAGGAAGUGCACUCGAAACUGCGAAGCUUGAGUCCUGGAGAGGAAGGCGGAAUUCUCGGUGUAGAGGUGAAAUUCGUAGAUAUCGAGAGGAACACCGGUGGCGAAGGCGGCCUUCUGGACAGUGACUGACGCUGAGACGCGAAAGCGUGGGGAGCAAACAGG
rnacentral:rRNA from 1 species